rnacentral:tRNA from 1 species
GAGGUAAGUUGAUAACAAGAAAAAGCUGCUAACUUUUAUCUUUAGCGGUUAAAUUCCGUUAAUAUCUCU